AUGUCGAGCUCCACUUCAGCCUCCCGCCCCUCGUGGACCCAGUAUGGUCCACUUCCCAUGGAGCGAUGUCCUGACUGCCCAAGCAGCGCCACUGAUACGGUUGACUUCGAAGGAGGUCAAGAAUGGCAACUACGGGCGCGAGUUCGUGAAAUGCGAGAGCAAGCCAGUGGGGCAGAUCAUGAAGAAAUGCACACAUUUUGA
rnacentral:rRNA from 1 species